rnacentral:rRNA from 1 species
UACGUAGGGUGCAAGCGUUGUCCGGAAUUAUUGGGCGUAAAGAGCUCGUAGGCGGUCUGUCGCGUCUGCUGUGAAAACUCAGGGCUUAACCCUGAGCUUGCAGUGGGUACGGGCAGACUAGAGUGCGGUAGGGGAGACUGGAAUUCCUGGUGUAGCGGUGAAAUGCGCAGAUAUCAGGAGGAACACCGGUGGGCGAAGGCGGGUCUCUGGGCCGGUAACUGACG